rnacentral:rRNA from 1 species
UACGAAGGGGGCUAGCGUUGUUCGGAAUUACUGGGCGUAAAGGGCGCGCAGGCGGCUUGACGAGUCGGGCGUGAAAGGCCUGGGCUUAACCCAGGAACUGCGCUCGAUACUGUCGGGCUCGAGUGUGGGAGAGGAUGGUGGAAUUCCUAGUGUAGAGGUGAAAUUCGUAGAUAUUAGGAAGAACACCGGCGGCGAAGGCGGCCAUCUGGACCACAACUGACGCUGAGGCGCGAAAGCGUGGGGAGCAAACAGG